rnacentral:tRNA from 1 species
CAGAGAAUAGUUUAUUUAAAAUAUUAAUUUUGGAGAUUAAAAAUAAGGGUUUCCUUUUCUCUGA